rnacentral:rRNA from 1 species
UACAGAGGUCCCGAGCGUUGUUCGGAUUCAUUGGGCGUAAAGGGUGCGUAGGCGGUCUUCUAAGUUUGAUGUGAAAUCCCGGGGCUCAACCCUGGAAUUGCAUUGAAUACUGGAGGACUAGAGUACCGGAGAGGAAACUGGAUUUUACGGUGUAGCAGUGAAAUGCGUAGAGAUCGUAAGGAAGACCAGUGGCGAAGGCGAGUUUCUGGACGGUAACUGACGCUGAGGCACGAAGGCCAGGGGAGCAAACGGG